UCUUCUCUUCCAUCAUCACUUAAUCUCACUCAUUGAAAUUUGAAACCCAGAAACUCUUCAUCGUUUCUCCAUCGUUCACCUUCAUGAUAUGGAUUUUUUGUGUUUUUGGUAUUGCGGAAUUUGGUGGAUAUGUUUAUGUGGAGAAGACUCUCGUGAAAUAUAGAGUUAUAUGAAGAAUACUAAAGUUCUUAUUUUAUUCAUCAUGCUUAUGGCUCUAUAUAUAGAGCUACAUAAAAACAAAUCAUAUAUUUUAAAAAAAAGAAACUAAUCNNNNNNNNNNNNNNNNNNNNNNNNNNNNNNNNNNNNNNNNNNNNNNNNNNNAGACUUGAGCUUUUUUCAUGUAUUUGUUAUGGUUAUGGGUUAUAUAAUACAUGAAACCAUCUCGCAUAUAACGUAUGAAAGGUGUAGGUUAUGGUUAUGGUUUUUGUUGAUUUCAUGGUUUCUUCUUUUUUCUUCGUCUUCAUCAUCUUCUUCCAUCUUCACAGAUCUGAACCUUAGCGCUCUGAUGCCACUGAUAUGGAUUUUUUGUGUUUUUGGUAUUGCGGAAUUUGGUGGAUAUGUUUAUGUGGAGAAGACUCUCAUGAAAUAUAGAGUUAUAUGAAGAAUACUAAAGUUCUUAUUUUAUUCAUCAUGCUUAUGGCUCUAUAUAUAGAGCUACAUAAAAACAAAUCAUAUAUUUUAAAAAAAGAAACUAAUCCUAUAAUAAAUUCUAAACAAAUCUUAGAUAUUCUAACAGAAAUAUAAAUCAUAAACCCUAAUAUUAUUUUAUUUCAAAUAUAAAUCUAAACUAUAUUUAAAUAUAAAAUCUUUCAAAAAAGAUAUUUAGGCAUUAUUCCCAACACUUCAUUCAUCGCAAUUGAACCUUCUCGUCAGAACUCGUUCUUUAGGUAUUUGGAUUUCUCUUAUUCUUCUUUGAUUUCUAAUUUUAAAUUUGCACUCUAAGAUUUUGGAUUUCUUUUGCAUUAAAAGAUGCGGCGUUCUUUGUGUUCUGUGAUUUCUUCACUAAACUUAUGCAUUUGUUCAAGUAUCUAUAUACCACUACACAUUCAAAACCUUCAUUUAUAUUAUGUAUCAUUUCAAUUAUUAAUAAUGUGAAGGUAUAAAUUUGCAUGUGUAUUCAUAAUGUGGAAAUUAUAAUGCACCUGUGGUGGUGGAUUUAAUGGUUCCGUUGUUUAUGAAAUUAAUGAAAUUCUUUUGUUAUAUUAGUCUAUUAGAAACAGUUUUUAGGGAUUAAAUGGAUAAAUAUGGACUUGGCCUCAUUGGUUACAAAAUGGAUUCUUGUGUUGAUAUACUUGUCAGUAAAUAAAUUGGUUAUGUUUGUGAGAAAAAAAGUAUGUAAUAAGAUGUUCUAAUAGCUCAAAGGUUGGUCUCAGAAGUACUAUAUGUGUAAGCAUGUCAAUUACUAUGAAGAAAAAAUACAAUAGAAUAACAUGUGCAUGCCAUGUAUCUUGAUUCUUGACCAUGAAUUGAAAUUUGCGUUUGACAAUUAAAGUUUUCCAUUUUUGAGUUAUAUUGUUGUCAAAUAACCGAUUAUCCCAAAAGCUUAAGCUAUUAGGAUAGAACCACAUCAAUGGUUUUAUAUUAUUUCUAACAAUUGUCACAAUUAUAGUUGCAUAAUUGCAUAUAGGCUUGCCUAUGAAAUUAUGGACUAAUGAGUUGUUGACCAAUGAAUUGUUCUCGACCUUGCUUCUUUUACUUAUAUGUAGCUUCUUCUUUGCUUCCCCUUUUCAGGUUUAUGUAAAGUCGAGAUGAACAAUCAUAUCAUUGCAGCUUUUAUACAAAAAGGUGAGGUUUGGACUUUCACCCGCUGUCACUAAGUAUUGAGAAGGAGGCCCCAGACGCAAUAGGUUAAUAACUGAAAUUUUAAGCCUACAAUUUUGUCAACCUAUUCUUUCACUGUUUUAAUUUUUUGGGUGGUGAUUGUAGUUGUGUAUUUGUUAAUCAGCAUGCAAUAAUGUAUGUUGAAGGAGAUAAGUACUAGGGAGGUAAAGCUAAUGAAAUAAGUGGUGUGCAUGAAGUGGUUUUGUGGAGACAUGUUAAUUGAGAAGUUGGAGACAUAUGUAAGUGAAUUUGACCAAUUUGAAUAUAGCAACUCAAUUUUGAUAUUGUUGUGGAAUUAGGCAAGCUAAGAUACUGGUGUGGAAUUAUAGUUACAGUUUUUCGUAUUCUCUAAAGCUAUUUGGUUAUUGGUUCUCUUGCAGAAUACUGAUUUGGUUAUGCAUCUCUAAAGCUAUUUGGUUAUGCAUAAAUACUAGAUUUGUUGGUCCUUCAGAGGUAUAUUUUAUUCUAAUCAACGUAAUUUACUAUAUUAUGCAGGCCACUUAAAUUUGAUGACAAUAAUUUAGCUAUAUUCUACUUAAUGCUUAUAGCUAGCUAUGCCAUUGUUGAUGGGUAUGGUUCUAUGCCAUUGUUGGGUAUGGUUCUACUUAAUACCGGUAUUGCUUGAUUGACAUGUCCUUUGAAUAUAUGUUGUUGAAUGUUUAUAAUUUACCUGGUGACAUAUUAUCUUGUUUUUUCCAUUUGGUGGCCUGAAGUAAUUGCUUUAAACCCAUCUCUAUUUGACUUUAAAUAUUGGCAUUUAUGCUUUACUAUGUUGACAAUUUAAAGUUCCUUCCAUAAUGGAGUAAUUGCUUUUCUAUGUUGCUUAGCCUUAUCACUUUAUGUUGUAUAUUUGUUUUCAAUCUCUCACAUGGUGUAUAUGCAUAUAUUAUCUUUUAAUUUAAGAAAUGAUGUGUUAUUCUUAAUUGUUUCCUUUUUUCAUGUGUAAUAACUUUCUGUAUUGACAAAUAAUUUAUCAGGGAGUUAGGUGCUUCUAAUGGAUUAUACACUGCUUGAUGAUUUUUUAUCUUCAACUUAGCUUCUAAUGUCGUAGCGAGGGAGUGGGAUUUUUUCCCUUUGAUCUCAGACUUGUUAGAAGGUGUUUAAGGAUUUUUUGUUACAUUUCCUGUUAGAUUCUUUGAGCAUGUAGAUUAACCUUGAAUGAUGGCUUAUUUCCAUUGUUGUAUAAUUUUUUGUUUUGAACUGAUUUUAGGCAAGCUAUCAAAAGCAGCAGUACUAGAGGCAAUCUGUGCAAAUUUCCAAGAGACCACUGAGCCAUCAAUUGGUUAUCAAUGGUGUUUUUCAUUGAUGCUGCUACUUCUAUAGUUCUUUUUUUUUGACAAAGCUACUUCUAUAGUUCUAUUCUUCAAUUGAAAGAUCAAGUACGUGAUUGUUGGCUUAUCAAUUGUAUCUUUAUAUUCUUUAGUUAGUUUUAUGAUUUUUCCAUCUCACUGCUUAUCAAUGCUUAGCAAUGCAUUCAUAUGCUCUGUAAUUCAUAUAUUGAUUAGUUUAAAUGCAAAUUGUAUUUGGAUUUGAA
rnacentral:lncRNA from 1 species